UACAGGGGGGGCAAGCGUUGUUCGGAAUUACUGGGCGUAAAGGGCGCGUAGGCGGCCCGCUAAGUCGAACGUGAAAUCCCCGAGCUCAACUCGGGAACUGCGUCCGAUACUGGCGGGCUUGAAUCCGGGAGAGGGAUGCGGAAUUCCAGGUGUAGCGGUGAAAUGCGUAGAUAUCUGGAGGAACACCGGUGGCGAAGGCGGCAUCCUGGACCGGCAUUGACGCUGAGGCGCGAAAGCUAGGGGAGCAAACGGG
rnacentral:rRNA from 1 species